rnacentral:misc_RNA from 1 species
GAAAUGCGAUAAGUAAUGUGAAUUGCAGAAUUCAGUGAAUCAUCGAAUCUUUGAACGCACAUUGCGCCCUCUGGUAUUCCGGGGGGCAUGCCUGUUCGAGCGUCAUUACAACCCUCAAGCUCUGCUUGGUAUUAGGCUUUCACCUGCUAAGGUGGGCCGUAAAAUCAGUGGCGGUGCCAUUUGGCUUCAAGCGUAGUAAUUUUUCUCGCUUUGGAGGACUGGAUGUUGUGCCUGCCAGCAACCCAAUUUUAUAUCACAGGUUGACCUCGGAUCAGGUAGGGAUACCCGCUGAACUUAA